AACAAUUUUUAAAGUUGAUAUUAUUCUGAAUGGAGCGAAGAAGCUUGUGUUUUUAUAAAGAUGUUUAUUUUUUGUUUUUUUUUUUAUCUGUGCACAAAUUUUCUGUACCAGAAAUCUUGCUCCAAAUUUUAAGUGAAGCACCUUUUUCUGAAAGGAAAUCGUUACUUACUACAGGUAAACAUUAAAUUGCCUAUAACAGACACUGCAUCCUUCCCUAUUAUCCUAGGACAUAUUUUUUUUUUUGUAAAUCAUUAGAUCUUACCGUAAAGGUAUGUUUAAAAACAAGUCAGCUAAAAUUUUUUUUUUACACCACUGUGGAUCAGUCGAAUAUGCACUUAACAAUCAUUUUUUCAAUAAGCGAUCACAUAAGGAUAUUCAUUUUGGUGCAAAUUACAUAUCAUUAUUUCGAUGUAAAUAUUGCCCUGAUUUUUAAUAUCAGUUAAUGUUUCUAAUUUCAUUUGGUU